CAAGAAUCGAGGCUGACGGUGGCCUACUCCCUAGGCUCCGUCCAGUCCCGCUCUCUACCUUGCCUACUGCACCGUUUGUUGCUUCCUGGCGGCGUACCGUCGCCAGGGCCUUUUGAAAGCCAAGUAUAAGCAUUGAAACUUCUGACAUACACUAAAUCGUA
rnacentral:misc_RNA from 1 species